rnacentral:rRNA from 1 species
GACGAACGCUGGCGGCGUGCCUAACACAUGCAAGUCGAGCGAACGGACGAGAAGCUUGCUUCUCUGAUGUUAGCGGCGGACGGGUGAGUAACACGUGGAUAACCUACCUAUAAGACUGGGAUCACUUCGGGAAACCGGAGCUAAUACCGGAUAAUCUUUUGAUCCGCAUGGUUCAAAAGUGAAAGACGGUCUUUCUGUCACUUAUAGAUGGAUCCGCGCUUCAUUAGCUAGUUGGUAAGGUAACGGCUUACCAAGGCAACGAUGCAUAGCCGACCUGAGAGAGUGAUCGGCCACCCUGGAACUGAGACAGGGUCCAGACUCCUGCGGGAGGAAGCAGUAGGGAAUCUUCCGCAAUGGGGGAGAGCCUGACGGAGCAACGCCGCGUGAGUGAUGAAGGUCUUCGGAUCGUAAAACUCUGUUAUUAGGGAAGAACAUAUGUGUAAGUAACUGUGCAGAUCUUGACGGUACCUAAUCAGAAAGCCACGGCUAACUACGUG